AUACGGAGGGUGCAAGCGUUAUUCGGAAUCACUGGGCGUAAAGGACGCGUAGGCGGGUUGGCAAGUCAGAUGUGAAAUCCUACAGCUUAACUGUAGAACUGCAUUUGAAACUGCUAACCUAGAGUAUGGGAGGGGGAGAUGGAAUUAGUGGUGUAGGGGUAAAAUCCGUAGAUAUCACUAGGAAUACCGAAAGCGAAGGCGAUCUCCUGGAACAUAACUGACGCUAAGGCGUGAAAGCGUGGGGAGCAAACAGGAUUAGACACCCUAGUAGUCC
rnacentral:rRNA from 1 species